GAUGAACGCUGGCGGCGUGCCUAAUACAUGCAAGUCGAGCGAACAGACGAGGAGCUUGCUCCUCUGACGUUAGCGGCGGACGGGUGAGUAACACGUGGAUAACCUACCUAUAAGACUGGGAUAACUUCGGGAAACCGGAGCUAAUACCGGAUCAUAUAUUGAACCGCAUGGUUCAAUAGUGAAAGACGGUUUUGCUGUCACUUAUAGAUGGAUCCGCGCCGCAUUAGCUAGUUGGUAAGGUAACGGCUUACCAAGGCGACGAUGCGUAGCCGACCUGAGAGGGUGAUCGGCCACACUGGAACUGAGACACGGUCCAGACUCCUACGGGAGGCAGCAGUAGGGAAUCUUCCACAAUGGGCGAAAGCCUGACGGAGCAACGCCGCGUGAGUGAUGAAGGUCUUCGGAUCGUAAAACUCUGUUAUUAGGGAAGAACAAAUGUGUAAGUAACUAUGCACGUCUUGACGGUACCUAAUCAGAAAGCCACGGCUAACUACGUG
rnacentral:rRNA from 1 species